UACGUAGGGUGCGAGCGUUGUCCGGAAUUAUUGGGCGUAAAGAGCUCGUAGGCGGUCUGUCGCGUCGGAUGUGAAAGCCCGGGGCUUAACUCCGGGUCUGCAUUCGAUACGGGCAGACUAGAGUGUGGUAGGGGAGAUCGGAAUUCCUGGUGUAGCGGUGAAAUGCGCAGAUAUCAGGAGGAACACCGGUGGCGAAGGCGGAUCUCUGGGCCAUUACUGACGCUGAGGAGCGCAAGCGUGGGGAGCGAACAGG
rnacentral:rRNA from 1 species